CUCAACAAGCCUGGCAGGGUGGCACUCGCUUAGUCGGUCCUCACGGCCAUGGCCACCUUCCACAUCACAGCUCUCAACCUAUUGAAGGGGACGCUUAGAAAGAUCGACAAAAUCAUUUGGGCCUUCAUCUGGCAAAAAGAGGACCAAGCUCAGACUUCGGGAGGUCACUCCCUUGUUAACUGGAAGACCGUCUGCCGUCCAAGGCAUCUGGGCGGCCUUGGGAUUAUUGACCUGGAGAGAUUUAGCCGCGCCCUGCGCCUCCGGUGGCCUUGGCUGCUAUGGACUGACCCAGAAAGGCCAUGGGUGGGAUCGGAGCUGUCGUGUGAUGAAUCAGAUAUGAGCCUCUUUCGCGCAUGUACCUCGAUUACGCUGGGCAAUGGACAGAAGGCGCUGUUCUGUAUGACAACUGGAAAGGUGACGGUCCACUCAAGCUUCUUGCUCCACAGCUCUACAAGAUUGCCUCAAGAAAGAACAGAUCGGUGCACAACGAGCUCAUGA
rnacentral:rRNA from 1 species